GAUGAACGCUGGCGGCGUGCCUAAUACAUGCAAGUCGAGCGAACAGAUGAGAAGCUUGCUUCUCUGAUGUUAGCGGCGGACGGGUGAGUAACACGUGGGUAACCUACCUAUAAGACUGGGAUAACUCCGGGAAACCGGGGCUAAUACCGGAUAAUACUUUGAACCGCAUGGUUCAAUAGUGACAGACGGUUUCGGCUGUCACUUAUAGAUGGCCCGGCGCCGUAUUAGCUAGUUGGUAAGGUAACGGCUUACCAAGGCGACGAUACGUAGCCGACCUGGGAGGGUGAUCGGCCACACUGGAACUGAGACACGGUCCAGACUCCGACGGGAGGCAGCAGUAGGGAAUCUUCCGCAAUGGGCGAAAGCCUGACGGAGCAACGCCGCGUGAGUGAUGAAGGUCUUCGGAUCGUAAAACUCUGUUGUUAGGGAAGAACAAAUUUGUUAGUAACUGAACAAGUCUUGACGGUACCUAACCAGAAAGCCACGGCUAACUACGUGCCAGCAGCCGCCGCAG
rnacentral:rRNA from 1 species